UUGAAAAGAGGAGCAAGGAACGGUAAUGAGACACAAUUAAUGUCUUGCAUAGGUUUCACUCAAAUCAGAAAAAUUACACCAAGGACAUGGGGGUGAGCACAAUAGAAAACAGUUGGAGCACAGCUGGAAAAGUUGCCAUGAUAUAUAUUUGAACUAGUUGAGAGAUCGUGAACUGUAAAAUUGAUCCUCGAGGAACUGAGGCUUAUGCAAGAGAAGGUCCAAGGUCCCAAUUUUCUGAGACCCAAACUGCUAACUACUCUGCAGCCAGAUGUCCCAGAAAGCUUGCAUACAGUGACCAGUGUGAUUGCCAAGUGCUGGCCUGGAGUGGACCUUUGCCCAGAGUGCCCGGACAUCAGUGCUGGCAGAGUGGAAGAGCUCAUUCUAUCCUGCUCCUCUUUCUAGAGACGUCAGACACAGAAAGGAAAACCUCCAACCAGGAAGACAUGAGAAUUAUGGCGACCCAGUAUGAGGUAUGUGCACCCCUAGGCAUGUGCCUGGAGAGAAACGUGGU